CUCUUAUCAAGAGAGGUGGAGGGACAGGGCCCUAUGAAACCCGGCAACCCGUAUAUGUCACUAACAAUGUCAUAUUCAAUGGUGCCAAUUCCGCAGAUAUUAGUAUUUGCAAGAUAAGAG
rnacentral:ncRNA from 2 species